CAGGCACUGCAGGAGGAGAGUCGCUACCUACGGGCAGUCUUAGCCAACGAGACUGGACUGGCUCGCUUGCUGAGCCGGCUGAGCGGCGUGGGACUGCGGCUGACCACCUCGCUCUUCAGAGACUCGCCCGCCGGUGACCACGACUACGCUCUGCCGGUGGGAAAGCAGAAGCAGGACCUGCUGGAAGAGGACGACUCGGCGGGAGGAGUCUGUCUCCAUGUGGACAAGGAUAAGGUGUCGGUGGAGUUCUGCUCGGCGUGCGCCCGGAAGGCGUCGUCUUCUCUUAAAAUGUAGGGUCAAGUAAUCUGCUCUUUAUCCGCGUUUACCCCUUUCAACUCCCUUACACCAUGUCAAACUUACCUUAGUGGGACAUCUUCACCGGACACAUUUCAGAGGAGAGAAAAAAAGUAAUAUUGAAUCUUAAAGUGUUUAGCUAAAAGCAUGAAUGUGACACAGUAACCAACUCCUAAUGAUAACAUGUGACUAUUAAAUCUCUCUGACAGUUUCUUUUUUAGGUGAUUUCCUUCCUGCCAGGCUCCGUUGUAGGGGUUACAGAACAGUCGUUCCCGCCUCACAACCUGUGGAUACAGCUGUUGGGGCAGAAGAGACGGGACCAGCUGCUGGCCACAUUUCCUGCUUUAUUUUAAAAGCUUAGCAGUGUCUGCAAAAACGAAUCUUUUCCUACAACCUGUUAACUGACUGGACUGUUGGUAACAAAGUAAUUGUGAGAACCAUGUCGGUCAAAAAUUUGGCAUCUGCUGAAAAAAAUGAAUGCCAUUUUCAAGUUCCCAAAUUACUUCUAUACUGAUUUCACUUUCCAGAAAUGGAGAUAUGAAAAGAUUCUCUGGAAUCCUUGAAAGACUUAAUAGAGAUACAUGAGACUAAGUUAAUCUUGGAACAAAAUUAUACUUUUUUUGUCUUUCAUGGGAGUGAUACUCAGUUAUUGCAUAUCUUUACAAAAUUGUAACCUUUGGAGAAUUACAGUAUUUCAUCAAGAAAUUAGAGUUUUUACAUAAUCAAGAGCAUAUUCUAUGGAAUUAACAUUUAGUGGACUAGAAUUACAUAAGCAGGCCAUCAGUGAUCACAAGGCAUAUGAGUU
rnacentral:ncRNA from 2 species